UGCUGCACAAAGCAGCUGUCUUCAGGCCUCUGAUAGUUAACUUCUCUGUCAGGUCUAGAGUCUCCUCUAAAUCAAGUCCACUAACUUGUCCCGCGUCGUCAAGGCUCAGACCAGAAAGAAACUUAAAAGCCAAAGCCCCAAAUCAAACAAUAACAACUCAAGUCCCUCCCGGUGCAACCUCUCUGUCCGCGCUGUUUCCCGGCACCGGAGGUGGAGCCGUGGAAGCGCCACCGGGUCUGAAGACACCUGUGGGCCAGACUGCUCCGCACCCUGGGCCUCUCCAGUCCUUCUUCCCACUUCGCUGCGAACUUUCUGUCCUACCCGGUAAUUAGUACUGGCAGCCUCAUAUUGCCUCUUUUGUUUUCAUAAUUCAUUUACUUUUGAUGAUAUCAUAAAGCGUGUAUAAAUUCCAUCCCCCUCCCCUUAACGUCCUGGCCCCACGCCCACAUCCACUAAUACAAAGACACUAAUUGCUCCUCGCUCUAGUGCCAGGCGCUUUGAAAACAUCUUUGGCUAAUGGAUGGAAUUAACCUUGUUUAACGUACAAAUCAGCAGCCUAAUUUGCCAUGAAUCCCGACUCCGUGGCUCCAUGACUAUGGCUGGGAGGAAAUGACUUCCCACCCUCCCCGGGCCACACUGGGAAAGAAAAUAGCUGGUGGCGGCAUUUGAGGAGCCUUCCCCCGGGCUCCCCACCUGUGAUGGAAUUGUCAGCUUAAGGCACAUGCGUCUGUCCUCACCACCCCUCAACUCCAAGGCCCCUGGGGCCGAGGGCAGCUUAUUCAUGACUGUGCCCCAACCUGGCCCAGCCGUGGUGUGUGGGAAGUGCCAGGACAAUCCUCGAUGGGUUCAUCGAGUCAACGCUUCUAAGCGGAGCAUCUGCGGUGUGCCAGGCUGAGUCCUGGGCUCUGUGAACCCAGCAGUGAGGUGAGCCUCUUGGUCUUAUGCAGCUUACGUUCUGGGGUGGUUAAGCAGCUAACCGGCAAGCAAAUAUGUGCAUGUCCUGUAUGUGUGAGAUGUCACAGAGCGGCAAAUGGUAUGAAGAAAAUUAAGCAUGGCAACGGAAGAGUGAAUGGGCUGGAGGGGGAGGAGGACUUGAGCUAGGGAGGCUGGGAGGCCUCACUGAGAAGGUGACAUUUGAGCUGAGUCCUUGUUAUGGGUGCCUUUGGUGCAAUGGUGGUCCUCUGGUACCCUGCCAGGCAAGCUGUCCCAGAGGCCACUAAACAAAAAGACACAUGGAGCAAACUAGAUGCUGGAACCGCACGCUUUAUUAAAUCCUUCUAGAACAUACAGAGAGAAACAAGGGGAGGGCAGCCAGUCAGUGCCCUCAGGACAGGUGCUGCGGGGGAGGCCCACACUGCCCCGUUCCCGCGCCAGCCCGUGUUCCUGCGCCCUGUCACUGCCCCUAAACCUUCCCUGCUGACGGGCCUACAGUUGAUAAGCAACACGGGCCCACUCCCUUCCUGUUGCUGUGGUCACAUCUACUCCCUCAUCCCCACCUGUUGCCUGGACGACUUUUGUGACAAGGACGUGGAAGGGUCGUUCUCACACUGUAGAACCGCAGCACUCUCCCAUCACACGGCUUCUUCCGGGGAAAGUCUCAGAAGCGUGUCCUCUGAUUAAAGGAGGUCGGAGUGUGCUUGUUGGAUGAAUGCUGCUUGCCUUCCGUGAGAUGGACGCCACAGCCUUCAGGAACACCACGGGGGAACAUCAAUACGUGUUGCACUCUAGAAAGCAGAUCAUUUACAGUGGGCUCGUUGUCUGCGGCCGCCAGCCCCCAAAUCGGUUGCACGUUGGAAGGCCCAGCUGGAGGAAGGCCAGCCCCAGGGCGCUCACGCCGCCACUCCCAUCGGCUGCAGCCUUCGAGGAGGGAGCCUCCCACCUCCCGACGUCGGGAUCGCUUAAGUUUCAAGCUGAAGGAAGAUGCAGCUAGCUGGAGGACUGGUGUUAUAGAAUGCUUAGCCAAUUCGCAGCGUCACUCCAAAUCCUCCUGGUUCCAGCGUAAGAGCUUCCCACACAGGGUACAGCUAUUAUAACAAAUAAUCAGUAACAGCCACUCAUUCAGCACUUGCUAUGUUUUAGCUACACAAAUUAUUUUAAGCUCCACUAUCUACCUUGUUGGUGAGCUCCUAUUCAUGUCUUUUGUGAGUUUCUUUGUUGGGGCAUCCACUUUCUUAUUGAUCUAAAGGAGCUUUUUAUAUAUUAAACAUAUUAACUCCCU